AAGUGAGGCCGAUGAGUAUAAGCUGAAGUAUAGGUUUCUUAUGCCUAUGGAUGUAUGAAUUAUUAAUAGUACUACCACUAUAAAAUUACCCUUGCAAAAGAUUAAAAAAAGAGAAAGUAAUGACUGAAAAGACUGUUAGUAAGUAUUUACAAAUUGAUUUUCAGGUCAAGCUCUGAAAUUAAAGAAGUAAUACUGUCUUCUCAAAACAUUUCCAAGUCGUAUCGUAAAUUAUGUGAUAUAAAUUGUCGAAUCACUUUGCUAAGAAUACUGCAACACGUAACUACCUCCUCAGAAAUAACUGCCAGAUUAAGCAACCAGAGUAUAAAUUAUAGUUCUGCUCAAACAUUAUACAGCUUAGUGAAGCUAAAGAGUAAUUAAUUAUCCCAUUAAUUUUUGAAUGUGGGCACACUGAAUCACCUGUGCUUUACUGAUAAUUAAUCCUACCUGUAGUGAUUACCUUCUCAAAAGUUGUCUUUUUUUUUUUUUUUUUUUGAUAGGCUGCAGGUGUACCUGAAUACAAGUCAAAAGUGCAUUGCUAAAAGUAUUUCAGAAGUUAAUAGUUCUAAUGGCAAAAAUAAACCUACUGCACUAUUAGUUCUAAAUAGCUCCAGAGAAAAUGCUCACAGUUCAUGCUGUAUGCAGGCAGUUCGCAUUGCACAGGUAGGCUACGGAACUGCCUGCACUACAAGGCAGCUACAAAGUGCUGCAGGACGAGAGCAGAAAAGUUUGAAGACGUUGCCGUUGUCCAUGGAGAUGGUCCAUGAGAAGGGACAGGAAAGGAGGCCGUGCAGCACCUUAUGUGACAACUCGAAUCAGCUAAACAUGCAUCAGCAGCAACAAACAGUCUGACCCAAGAAAAUAUUCCUUUUUGAACCCAAAUGUCAUGCCUGUUUUGAACUACAAUACACCAUCCAACAGGUACCUGGAGAAUUAAAAUGUGAUUUGAUAUAAAACAACAAUCCAAGUAAGUAAAACACCCAAAUCCUUUGGUGCCCUGACAGAGCACCUGUGGGUACAUUAACACAAUAGAGAUGGUGCAAACCAACAGCUCGCCUCAGUUGAAUCUCCACAGAAAUAUCAAUGCAUUAGAUAUGCAAUUAUCUUAUUUCACAAGUUAAUAUUCUGCCCUCGGGAAUCCUCCCAUUUCACCAUAUAGUUUCUGCCAGAAGUUCCAAAAGACCAGGUGGGUGUCACAGGUUUCUGUCCCCUGAGCGGAUUUUGGCCACUACCUCUUCAGAUCAGCCAUUGUGGCUCUCAGCUUUGUUCUUUGUAACUGCCAGCAGAGAAAAACUGCAAGCUUUACCAGUCCUUGCUAACCAUUGCCAUGAGAACUGACACAGUUUAGGGAACCCUCUCAUGCGCCUCUGUACUGCUGCAUCCGCAGGACCGAGAAACCUCUUCAGGAGGGUGGUGCUGAGCAACCCACGAUGAAGUGCAAGCGGUAAGAGUCUCCACCAAUACAGCUGUACUCAGCAGAGGAUGCACCCCCUACAGACCUGGCUAAUUAUAAACUUGAAGAAAAUCUUCGAGAUGAAUGACUGAAUUGCUGGUAUGUAUUGAGAGUGAAACGGGCAUCAUAUGAGCCAUUUGUUUUGAUGUGGUAAAGCAGCCAGAGAUUUAUCCCUGCUAGUAGAGGUUGGAGACUUGAAACACCACCACAAUAUUUUGUCCUGAAAAAUGCUGCAACUUGUUAAAUAUGGAAAACUGGCAUGGGGGACAUAACGCAAGCUACACUUUCCUAACGUGUUCUUAAAAAAUUUAUGAGAGUUUAAAGUGUUCUGCCAUUCAGUUAUAAAAAGGUUUCCAUAGAAACUGUCAUGCAACAUGACUUUUUGCUAUAAACACACCGAAGUGUCAAACUAACUUCUACAUGUUUAUUCUGCUUUCAUGGGGAGCAAAAAAAAACCCAUCCGCUUUCUGUUAUCUAGGUUCCCUGGCAGGGGUUGGAACAGUAACAUGUUUUGGCUUGCUUAGAGAGAUUUCCUCAGUUAAGCUGCAAAUGAAAUAAACACACUUAGAGAGGUUAAUAUUAUUUUGCAGGGAUUAUCUAGUUUAAUUAAUCAGCAUUUAAUCUCU